UACGGAGGGUGCAAGCGUUAUCCGGAUUCACUGGGUUUAAAGGGAGCGUAGGUGGGUCGGUAAGUCAGUGGUGAAAUCCCCGAGCUUAACUUGGGAACUGCCAUUGAUACUAUCGAUCUUGAAUACUGUGGAGGUUAGCGGAAUAUGUCAUGUAGCGGUGAAAUGCUUAGAUAUGACAUAGAACACCAAUUGCGAAGGCAGCUGGCUACACAUAUAUUGACACUGAGGCUCGAAAGCGUGGGGAUCAAACAGG
rnacentral:rRNA from 1 species